AUUAUGUUGUUGUGUUUAGAAUGUUUUAAGAAAUAUCAAAUAAUAAUAUGAAUGAGGAAUACCAAAAAGAAGAAAAUGGUACAAUGGUCAAUACAUAAAAUCGAAAGUCCCAUGUCCAAAUUGCGAUAAUAAAUACAUUGAGGCAUAUUGUACUAAAUGCAAUAAAUGGCAUAUUGUGCACUGCAGGGACUGGAACCGUAAAGAAAUUGACCGAUUUUGGACCAAAACCUUUUGAAAAUCUUGGAACCGAAACCGAAACCAGAAUCUAAAAUAAUAUACCAACGUUUUAAACUUUAGCCGACCAAUUUAAAGUUAUUAAUUGUUUGGUUAAGAACCGCUGCUUUAGAGUCUUAUUUUAAAUAUAACUGUAAACAAAUAUCACAUUUAAAAGAUAAAACUGAUAAUAACUUACUACAAUUACCACUUCUGAUAUCAUUUUAACUACCUAAAACGUAUACCUUCUUAAUAUAAACACAAAAUAAAUUAAAACUUUUAAUAUUGACAAUACUAUAUUGUUAAUAAUUAUUGUUUUUGUAAAAUACACAAUUUAUAAAAAGACCUGGGAUUCUAAUGCCCCAAAAAACCCAACAUAGAACAUAAUAUUAAUAUUAUAGUAUAGAUACCUACCAAUACCACAAAUUCUCUAAUAAUCACGAAUCAUGAUGGUAAUAAUAAUAAUAAUAAUAAAAAAGACACACAUAUAAUACAUGAUGAUAACACACGUAUUAAUUGUGAUCAUGGUCAAAUUAUUAUUAUUUGUCGUUAUUCGUUCCCAUAUAGAUUAUCGAAAAUGAUUACCUACCUGCCUACCUGUCAUUAUCGUACAUAUAGACGCGUCUAAAUAAUCACCCAUUCUGGUAAAAAUUCCGUUUUUAAUCCAGGUUUCGUUACGAAUUGAUAAUGAGCGAAGAUAGAAUGAUGGCUUAUGUGGAAUCGUAUUAUAAAGUAAAAUUGGAGCAUUUGACUAAAAAUAAAUUGCUAAUGGAAGAAUUGAAAAAAAAAUACGAUUUCUAUUUGUAUUUUUCUGAGUCUUCUUUGAAAAAGGAAAACAAGGCACAUAUAGACAUAACAAAGUGCCAGUAUAGCAAGCGACACAAAAUUAGCCAAAUUAAUAGCAUAUAAAAAAAACACUAACUGUUUACCUAUAUCAAGUAAAAAACAUUCAAUUUGGAUUCAAAAUAUAAUAAAAAAUAUAAGCAUACAUGGAUUAAAAGGAACUAGAUGUCACUGUUAAAGGUGUCAAUGUAGAAUACAACACAACCUUGUACUGUAAUAUGCUUCCAAACCAAUAAAAACAGUUGAUUGAAAAUUCUAAAAAAAUUUUAAAAUGUUGGAUUCGAAUACUAAAGUAUACUGAAGCAUGUAAUAUACUACUAGUGGAACAAAUUGUCUGCAUUAAAUGUUUUUGGAGUGCAGUUCUUAGCCCUAAUACUAAACUCAAUAAAUAUUAAAUGUUUCAUGGUAUGGAACACCUAUAAAUGCCAACAUGUUCCCACACAUCUCAAAUAAAAAAUAAAGUGACUGUUUACUUUGGAGUUUUGGACUUCUAAAUGAACGUUAAUCAGUCUACAGUCAAUAUGAAUAUUUGACUACACUGUCAUUCGGAGGAUUGUAUUACGAACCCCGUGCCGCCGCCUCAGUGAAUGAUGCACGUCGCGCGUAAUGCGCUGCGGUGGCCAUCAACCAAAUUUUAGAAAAAGCUCUUCGUCACGUACAAUAGAUUAAACCUUAUCCUAAUUCGGAAUAUUAUAUUUUGUUUAUUUUUGUACGUUUAGCCGUUUUUGAGAAAUAGCGUGGACAAACAUACAGACAGACAACCUAGCUGGCGAGAUACGAAGUUAAACAAAAACCUUUAAAAAUACUAUACUGUAGGUACAACUGGUACAAGUCAAAAGACAUAAUUUAAUGUAGGUAGGUAUACAUUGCAUUAUACCAUAAAUCAUAUUAUAAUAUAUUCAUAUUAAAGGACCUAACAACACUUUUUAGUAUUAAGGUUAAUGAUGUAUUAUUGUGGUCGAAAUAAUAAAAAAUAUUUUUGUAAAAAUCCGAAGUCAAAAAAAUUAUUAUUUAUCGAUAAAUAAUGAAUCAUAGAGCCGACAAGUGAGCAGCCGCCCAUGUUUGACGUGUAAAAGUAGUUUGAUUUACAUAAUGAUUUUAAUAACUUAACUUAUUUCAGAUUUUUGUUUUUCAUAAUCUUUUGUAUAUUUACUUGUUUAACAAGAUGGUGUGAUCUAAAAUUCAAUAUAUUUUGUAUAUCCCUGCAACAAAAGUCAAUGUAAAAAUAAUAAACUGUCUAAAAAAUUGCUCUAAAAGUUGUAUUAUAAUUUUAU